UGGGGAAUAUUGGACAAUGGGCGGAAGCCUGAUCCAGCCAUGCCGCGUGUGCGAAGAAGGCCUUUUGGUUGUAAAGCACUUUAAGCGAGGAGGAGGCUCUUCUAGUUAAUACCUAGGAUGAGUGGACGUUACUCGCAGAAUAAGCACCGGCUAACUCUGUGCCAGCAGCCGCGGUAAUACAGAGGGUGCGAGCGUUAAUCGGAUUUACUGGGCGUAAAGCGUGCGUAGGCGGCUGAUUAAGUCGGAUGUGAAAUCCCUGAGCUUAACUUAGGAAUUGCAUUCGAUACUGGUCAGCUAGAGUAUGGGAGAGGAUGGUAGAAUUCCAGGUGUAGCGGUGAAAUGCGUAGAGAUCUGGAGGAAUACCGAUGGCGAAGGCAGCCAUCUGGCCUAACACUGACGCUGAGGUACGAAAGCAUGGGGAGCAAACAGG
rnacentral:rRNA from 1 species